AAAUUCGUCGGGCAGAACGUGAGGAAGCCGAAGCGAUCGUUGUGGGAAAAUGGCAGCCGUUUCUCUAUCUCGUUCACGGCAGUCACCAGACGACGGUAUACCUGGUGGAAACACAUAGGAAGGAUGACCGACGACAAGAUACCAGGAGCCUUAAACAUUAACUAAACCCGAAUUAAGAUGAUAGCUGUGUUCUCAUUACCUGACCGAGAUCACCGCCCAUCUGCAUGGAGAUGAUACGGAGAUGAUCCUCUUCGUUGCACCACACCAAGAAGGUCUUGUCGUCGUUGUGGAAAAUUCCGCGCCCGGUUGGCCAGAAGCGGCAGGCAUUGGCAGUCUGCAGGA